UCAGGCCCAUCAUUUAGGCGCUCAACGCCCAUUUGACCGCUCAGCGGUGGACCCUUUAAUCGCAGGGCGCUCAACGGUGGAAACUGACGCUCAACGCUGGCCCUCAGAAUCGCAAAACGGUCAGCAUCGUCGCUCAAGUGAGAAACAAUGCCUUCCUCCUCGAAGCUGGCACUCAGCGUUGGAAUUGGCGCUGAGCGAUGGACCUCACUCUUCUUUUGCUUCUUUUCUCAUCCUUUCUUGAGUCUAAGUCCUCCC
rnacentral:lncRNA from 1 species